UAUCUGGGAGAAUUUUUUUUUCCCCAAGCGAAGCAUGAACAGUUGCUAAGUGGAAAAUGGAGGCUGAAUUUUACAUGGUGAUUCUUACCUGCUUGAUCUUCAGGAACUCAGAAGGGUUUCAGAUUGUCCAUGUCCAGAAACAACAGUGUCUUUUCAAAAAUGAGAAAGUGGUCGUGGGCUCAUGCAACAGGACCAUCCAGAACCAGCAGUGGAUGUGGACUGAGGAUGAAAAGCUCCUUCAUGUUAAAUCUGCACUGUGCUUGGCCAUCUCCAACUCCUCUCGCGGCCCCUCCCGCUCAGCCAUCUUGGACCGCUGUUCCCAGGCACCCCGAUGGACCUGCUAUGAUCAGGAAGGCUUCCUUGAGGUGGAAAAUGCCUCUCUCUUUCUCCAGAAACAAGGCUCCAGAGUAGUGGUCAAGAAGGCCAGGAAAUACCUCCAUAGCUGGAUGAAAAUAGAUGUCAACAAGGAGGGAAAACUGGUCAAUGAAAGCCUCUGUUUAAAAAAAGCUGGCCUGGGAGCAGAAGUUUCGGUGAGGAGCACUAGAAACACGGCUCCACCCCAGAUUCCCACUACCUUUAAUGCAGUUCCAGAUAGCCUGGUAUUCCUUAUUAGGAAUACCACAGAGGCCUUCAUCAGAAAUGCUGCAGAAAACUACAGCCAAAACAGCAGCGAGAGGCAGCAUCCCAAUCUGCACAUGACUGGAAUUACAGACACAUCAUGGGUUUUGUCGACUACUCAGCCCUUCUCCAGCACCACUGAAGAGACUGGACUGGCGGAGCCAGAGAGAUGUAACUUCACCCUGGCGGAGUCCAAGGCCUCCAGCCAUUCUGUGUCUAUCCAGUGGAGAAUUUUGGGCUCACCCUGUAACUUUAGCCUCAUCUAUAGCAGUGACACCCUGGGGGCCGCGUUGUGCCCUACCUUUCGGAUAGACAACACCACAUACGGAUGUAACCUUCAAGAUUUACAAGCAGGAACCAUCUAUAACUUCAAGAUUAUUUCUCUGGAUGAAGAGAGAACUGUGGUCUUGCAAACAGAUCCUUUACCUCCUGCUAGGUUUGGAGUCAGUAAAGAGAAGACGACUUCAACCAGCUUGCAAGUUUGGUGGACUCCUUCUUCCGGAAAAGUCACCUCAUAUGAGGUGCAAUUAUUUGAUGAAAAUAACCAAAAGAUACAGGGGGUUCAAAUUCAAGAAAGUACUUCAUGGAAUGAAUACACUUUUUUCAAUCUCACUGCUGGUAGUAAAUACAAUAUGGCCAUCACAGCUGUUUCUGGAGGAAAACGUUCUUCUUCAGUUUAUACCAAUGGAUCAACAGUGCCAUCUCCAGUGAAAGAUAUUGGUAUUUCCACAAAAGCCAAUUCUCUCCUGAUUUCCUGGUCCCAUGGUUCUGGGAAUGUGGAACGAUACCGGCUGAUGCUAAUGGAUAAAGGGAUCCUAGUUCAUGGCGGUGUUGUGGACAAACAUGCUACUUCCUAUGCUUUUCACGGGCUGACCCCUGGCUACCUCUACAACCUCACUGUUGUGACUGAGGCCGCAGGGCUGCAAAACUACAGGUGGAAACUAGUCAGGACAGCCCCCAUGGAAGUCUCAAAUCUGAAGGUGACAAAUGAUGGCAGUUUGACCUCUCUAAAAGUCAAAUGGCAAAGACCUCCUGGAAAUGUGGAUUCUUACAAUAUCACCCUGUCUCACAAAGGGACCAUCAAGGAAUCCAGAGUAUUAGCACCUUGGAUUACUGAAACUCACUUUAAAGAGUUAGUCCCCGGACGACUUUAUCAAGUUACUGUCAGCUGUGUCUCUGGUGAACUGUCUGCUCAGAAGAUGGCAGUGGGCAGAACAUUUCCAGACAAAGUUGCAAACCUGGAGGCGAACAAUAAUGGCAGGAUGAGGUCUCUUGUAGUGAGCUGGUCGCCCCCUGCUGGAGACUGGGAGCAGUAUCGGAUCCUACUCUUCAAUGAUUCUGUGGUGCUGCUCAACAUCAGUGUGGGAAAGGAAGAAACACAGUAUGUCAUGGAUGACACGGGGCUCGUACCGGGAAGACAGUAUGAGGUGGAAGUCAUUGUUGAGAGUGGAAAUUUGAAGAAUUCUGAGCGUUGCCAAGGCAGGACAGUCCCCCUGGCUGUCCUCCAGCUCCGUGUCAAACAUGCCAAUGAAACCUCACUGAGCAUCAUGUGGCAGACCCCUGUAGCAGAAUGGGAGAAAUACAUCAUUUCCCUAGCUGACAGAGACCUCUUACUGAUCCACAAGUCACCCUCCAAAGAUGCCAAAGAAUUCACUUUUACUGACCUGGUGCCUGGACGAAAAUACAUGGCUACAGUCACCAGUAUUAGUGGAGACUUAAAAAAUUCCUCUUCAGUAAAAGGAAGAACAGUGCCUGCCCAAGUGACUGACUUGCAUGUGGCCAACCAAGGAAUGACCAGUAGUCUGUUUACUAACUGGACCCACGCACAAGGAGACGUAGAAUUUUACCAAGUCUUACUGAUCCAUGAAAAUGUGGUCAUUAAAAAUGAAAGCAUCUCCAGUGAGACCAGCAGAUACAGCUUCCACUCUCUCAAGUCCGGCAGCCUGUACUCCGUGGUGGUAACAACAGUGAGUGGAGGGAUCUCUUCCCGACAAGUGGUGGUGGAGGGAAGAACAGUCCCUUCCAGUGUGAGUGGAGUAACGGUGAAGAAUUCCGGUCGUAAUGACUACCUCAGCGUUUCCUGGCUGCUGGCGCCCGGAGAUGUGGAUAACUAUGAGGUAACAUUGUCUCAUGACGGCAAGGUGGUUCAGUCCCUUGUCAUUGCCAAGUCUGUCAGAGAAUGUUCCUUCAGCUCCCUCACCCCAGGCCGCCUCUACACCGUGACCAUAACUACAAGGAGUGGCAAGUAUGAAAAUCACUCCUUCAGCCAAGAGCGGACAGUGCCUGACAAAGUCCAGGGAGUCAGUGUUAGCAACUCAGCCAGGAGUGACUAUUUAAGGGUAUCCUGGGUGCAUGCCACUGGAGACUUUGAUCACUAUGAAGUCACCAUUAAAAACAAAAACAACUUCAUUCAAACUAAAAGCAUUCCCAAGUCAGAAAACGAAUGUGUAUUUGUUCAGCUAGUCCCUGGACGGUUGUACAGUGUCACUGUUACUACAAAAAGUGGACAAUAUGAAGCCAAUGAACAAGGGAAUGGGAGAACAAUUCCAGAGCCUGUUAAGGAUCUAACAUUGCGCAACAGGAGCACUGAGGACUUGCAUGUGACUUGGUCAGGAGCUAAUGGGGAUGUCGACCAAUAUGAGAUCCAGCUGCUCUUCAAUGACAUGAAAGUAUUUCCUCCUUUUCACCUUGUAAAUACCGCAACCGAGUAUCGAUUUACUUCCCUAACACCAGGCCGCCAAUACAAAAUUCUUGUCUUGACGAUUAGCGGGGAUGUACAGCAGUCAGCCUUCAUUGAGGGCUUCACAGUUCCUAGUGCUGUCAAAAAUAUUCACAUUUCUCCCAAUGGAGCAACAGAUAGCCUGACGGUGAACUGGACUCCUGGUGGGGGAGACGUUGAUUCCUACACGGUGUCGGCAUUCAGGCACAGUCAAAAGGUUGACUCUCAGACUAUUCCCAAGCACGUCUUUGAGCACACAUUCCACAGACUGGAGGCCGGGGAGCAGUACCAGAUCAUGAUUGCCUCAGUCAGCGGGUCCCUGAAGAAUCAGAUAAAUGUGGUUGGGCGGACAGUUCCAGCAUCUGUCCAAGGAGUAAUUGCAGACAAUGCAUACAGCAGUUAUUCCUUAAUAGUAAGUUGGCAAAAAGCUGCUGGUGUGGCAGAAAGAUAUGAUAUCCUGCUUCUAACUGAAAAUGGAAUCCUUCUGCGCAACACAUCAGAGCCAGCCACCACUAAGCAACACAAAUUUGAAGAUCUAACACCAGGCAAGAAAUACAAGAUACAGAUCCUAACUGUCAGUGGAGGCCUGUUUAGCAAGGAAGCCCAGACUGAAGGCCGAACAGUCCCAGCAGCUGUCACCGACCUGAGGAUCACAGAGAACUCCACCAGGCACCUGUCCUUCCGCUGGACCGCCUCAGAGGGGGAGCUCAGCUGGUACAACAUCUUUUUGUACAACCCAGAUGGGAAUCUCCAGGAGAGAGCUCAAGUUGACCCACAAGUCCAGAGCUUCUCUUUCCAGAACUUGCUACAAGGCAGAAUGUACAAGAUGGUGAUUGUAACUCACAGUGGGGAGCUGUCUAAUGAGUCUUUCAUAUUUGGUAGAACAGUCCCAGCCUCUGUGAGUCAUCUCAGGGGGUCCAAUCGGAACACGACAGACAGCCUUUGGUUCAACUGGAGUCCAGCCUCUGGGGACUUUGACUUUUAUGAGCUGAUUCUCUAUAAUCCCAAUGGCACAAAGAAGGAAAACUGGAAAGACAAGGACCUGACGGAGUGGCGGUUUCAAGGCCUUGUUCCUGGAAGGAAGUACGUGCUGUGGGUGGUAACUCACAGUGGAGAUCUCAGCAAUAAAGUCACAGCGGAGAGCAGAACAGCUCCAAGUCCUCCCAGUCUUAUGUCAUUUGCUGACAUUGCAAACACAUCCUUGGCCAUCACGUGGAAAGGGCCCCCAGACUGGACAGACUACAACGACUUUGAGCUGCAGUGGUUGCCCAGAGAUGCACUUACUGUCUUCAACCCCUACAACAACAGAAAAUCAGAAGGACGCAUUGUGUAUGGUCUUCGUCCAGGGAGAUCCUAUCAAUUCAAUGUCAAGACUGUCAGUGGUGAUUCCUGGAAAACUUACAGCAAACCAAUUUUUGGAUCUGUGAGGACAAAGCCUGACAAGAUACAAAACCUGCAUUGCCGGCCUCAGAACUCCACGGCCAUUGCCUGUUCUUGGAUCCCUCCUGAUUCUGACUUUGAUGGUUAUAGUAUUGAAUGCCGGAAAAUGGACACCCAAGAAGUUGAGUUUUCCAGAAAGCUGGAGAAAGAAAAAUCUCUGCUCAACAUCAUGAUGCUAGUGCCCCAUAAGAGGUACCUGGUGUCCAUCAAAGUGCAGUCGGCCGGCAUGACCAGCGAGGUGGUUGAAGACAGCACUAUCACAAUGAUAGACCGCCCCCCUCCUCCACCCCCACACAUUCGUGUGAAUGAAAAGGAUGUGCUAAUUAGCAAGUCUUCCAUCAACUUUACUGUCAACUGCAGCUGGUUCAGCGACACCAAUGGAGCUGUGAAAUACUUCACAGUGGUGGUGAGAGAGGCUGAUGGCAGUGAUGAGCUGAAGCCAGAACAGCAGCACCCUCUCCCUUCCUACCUGGAGUACAGGCACAACGCCUCCAUUCGGGUGUAUCAGACUAAUUAUUUUGCCAGCAAAUGUGCCGAAAAUCCUAACAGCAACUCCAAGAGUUUUAACAUUAAGCUUGGAGCAGAGAUGGAGAGCCUAGGUGGAAAAUGCGAUCCCACUCAGCAAAAAUUCUGUGAUGGACCACUGAAGCCACACACUGCCUACAGAAUCAGCAUUCGAGCUUUUACACAGCUCUUUGAUGAGGACCUGAAGGAAUUCACAAAGCCCCUCUAUUCAGACACAUUUUUUUCUUUACCCAUCACUACUGAAUCAGAGCCCUUGUUUGGAGCUAUUGAAGGUGUGAGUGCUGGUCUGUUUUUAAUUGGCAUGCUAGUGGCUGUUGUUGCCUUAUUGAUCUGCAGACAGAAAGUGAGCCAUGGUCGAGAAAGACCCUCUGCCCGUCUGAGCAUUCGUAGGGAUCGACCAUUAUCUGUCCACUUAAACCUGGGCCAGAAAGGUAACCGGAAAACUUCUUGUCCAAUAAAAAUAAAUCAGUUUGAAGGGCAUUUCAUGAAGCUACAGGCUGACUCCAACUACCUUCUAUCCAAGGAAUACGAGGAGUUAAAAGACGUGGGCCGAAACCAGUCAUGUGACAUUGCACUCUUGCCGGAGAAUAGAGGGAAAAAUCGAUACAACAAUAUAUUGCCCUGGCAACAACUUCAGAAGAGAAUACAUUGUCACUCAGGGACCGCUUCCUGGCACCAAGGAUGACUUCUGGAAAAUGGUGUGGGAACAAAACGUUCACAACAUCGUCAUGGUGACCCAGUGUGUUGAGAAGGGCCGAGUAAAGUGUGACCAUUACUGGCCAGCGGACCAGGAUUCCCUCUACUAUGGGGACCUCAUCCUGCAGAUGCUCUCAGAGUCCGUCCUGCCUGAGUGGACCAUCCGGGAGUUUAAGAUAUGCAGUGAGGAACAGCUUGAUGCACGCAGACUCAUCCGCCACUUUCACUAUACGGUGUGGCCAGACCAUGGAGUCCCAGAAACCACCCAGUCUCUGAUCCAGUUUGUGAGAACUGUCAGGGACUACAUCAACAGAAGCCCGGGUGCUGGGCCCACUGUGGUGCACUGCAGUGCUGGUGUGGGUAGGACUGGAACCUUUAUUGCAUUGGACCGAAUCCUCCAGCAGUUAGACUCCAAAGACUCUGUGGACAUUUAUGGAGCAGUGCACGACCUAAGACUUCACAGGGUUCACAUGGUCCAGACUGAGUGUCAGUAUGUCUACCUACAUCAGUGUGUAAGAGAUGUCCUCAGAGCAAGAAAGCUACGGAGUGAACAAGAAAACCCCUUGUUUCCAAUCUAUGAAAAUGUGAAUCCAGAGUAUCACAGAGAUCCAGUCUAUUCAAGGCAUUGAGAAUGUACCUGAAGAGCUCCUGGAUAAAAAUUAUUCACUGUGUGAUUUGUUUUUAAAAACUUGCUUCAUGCCCUACAGAGGUGCCAGCUAUUUCUGUUGAUACUAUGUAUAAUUUAUUAAUCUGGAGAAUGUUUAAAAUUUUAUAUAAUUUAAAGGUAACAGAUAUUAUUGUACAUAGUUGUAUUUUGUAUUUCUUCUGUAAAUAUGUAUUUUUCAUAAUGUUUAAUAUUAAGCUUUAUAUAAUACUAUUUUUCCACACUAAAGUGUUCAUGACUUGUUCUACAUAAAACUAAUUCAACCUGUAUGACAGGACUACUGGUAAAAUGCAUAUGGAGGUGGUGGCAGAGACAAUCCUUCAGGCCAUGUUUUCUACCUGUUUCGAUAUUCACUGGACAGGAAAAAGGGCAGGGCUAGAGAGAGCAAAUACUAUGGCUAGAUUUGCUGUAUUGCUGUCCCAUGAAUCUCGAGAGCCAACCGACAUGUCCUAACUUGCUAUCAGGACAAAUGUGACAGUCAAAAAAAGGAUUAGAGGGAGGGAGAAAAAAGAAUUAAGCAGUACCAAAGCUGAACUAGAUGCUUGUGUCUGAACUAGUUGCUCUCUCUCCUUUCUCCUUCCAGGGAUCCAAGCCAAAGUGGUCAGCUCAGGGAUCAUGUAACUUGCAGUGCAGGCCCAGGAUGGUAGGAUGCAGGGUUGAGGGUUCUGAUAGAGAAUGAUUCCAAACAGAAGCGAUGAAUUCCUUUUGUUAAUAAGAUGCCAGCUAUACCCAGACUGGAAACAUAACAUGCAAAGCACUAUCUAUAGUGAUUAGAGAUACUUUCAUUGCAUUCAUGGUGUGGAGUGUGAACAUCCACACCCAUACUGUAAUGUAUUUAUACACACUAGUUUCUGUCUCAUUUUCAGUGGUCUCCAUUCCUAGAAAAGUCACAAUUAUCCAUUCCUACUUGAUUUCCCAUUAAAAGAAUAUUAUGGUAGCAGAUUGUGCCCCUCAUUAAAAGGCUUAAUGCCAACAUUUUCAUAGAAAUGACUACAAACAUCAUAUAUAGUAAAUUUAAAAACAAUAGCAAAAACAAAAACAGUGGUCUUCAGUAAAAUUUUCAAAACUUCUUUUAGUAAAUCAAUGAAGUCAAAAUGUCAAGUAAUCACCCAAAGUUGCAUUUAAUAACAAAAGGCACUACAUACUGUACCAAGUUUAUCUUCAAUAUUUGUGCCUUACUUUGACUAUAACAAAUUCCAAUGAGUCAGAAAGUAUUUCCUUCAUCAAGGUCCAGUUCCGACAGCAUUCCUGGGAAAAAUUUGAAAGGAGUUUAUAUGGAAUCUUCAUAGAUACCUGAGAAGAUGAGCUGGAGAUGUUUGCCUUUUUCACACUACAAAUUUUUCUGUAAUAAACUUGGGAAUUAGAGGUCAA